rnacentral:misc_RNA from 1 species
GUUAGACUUGUGAACUUUCUAAAUUAAAAAUAUGGGGAUAUGGAUCUAAAUAGAUACGGGUGCUCAGAUACGCUAUGUAGGUCGAAAGGGUUGAAGUAAUUUACCCAAAAAGAGCCAAACACAACUAAAAAUUGUGAUAUGCAACCAUUGGGUUCUUGAAAUAUUCAACAUUUUUUAACUCUUUUUGUACCUAUCCAUAAUUCAAAGUUGCAUUCUCUUUUUAACUUGUUUUUUAUGUAUCCUUUACACAUAUUCCAUGUCGUGUUGACACGGCUACAGCAAGGCAAAAUGAAGAGUUGAAGUAUCAGAGCUUAAUUUGAUUCCUCCUUGUGCGCUGACAUAUCCAUCUUAGCAUUUUAUCCCUAUCAUACUCAUUUGUGGCAUGUUGGUUUUUUCCCAUCACACAUCAUUUUUAAUCAAAUUGCAGUUUUUAGAACUUUUCAUUUAAGUUAGCAUUUUUUUUUAAAACAAAUAAGACAUAGCAAUUCUCAGUUUCAAUUCUCCUAUGUUCCUAUCUUAAUCACUCUCCCAAGAUUUCCACUGCUAUGUUUUUAAUGUUUGUAGACAACACCAAUUCCAUAAACAUGGCUUUUACAUCUGUAUCCGGGUUCUAUCCUCAUAUUUAUUCUUCAAAACCAAAUGUUUCUCACCUCUUACUCUUAGAUUCCACCACCUUGUCCUAUAGAGCCUAGAAGCUGCUUUUUUCCCAAUCAAAAUUUAUGAAUAAUCAAACAACCCAAUAAUAGAAAAUCAAAGGUCAACCAAGCAGUAGCAGCCCUUAUUGCAAUCCCAAAAAUUUCCCCACAAACUCAAUACCUGACAUGUUAAUUGUUCAACAAUAACUGGCAAACUAAACCUAAAAGCCCAAAUACCCAUCAUCAAAGAUCAACGAGUGGAUCAAACUAAAAUCACUAGAACAUGAAAUCUCAUCAAAUUAACCCAUCAAACAAAACAACUACCUCUUAAUCCACGAACAAACGCAAAAUAACUAAGAAUAACAUUUGUACCAAUUGACA